GGAUUGAACGCUGGCGGCAGGCCUAACACAUGCAAGUCGAGCGGCAGCACGGGUACUUGUACCUGGUGGCGAGCGGCGGACGGGUGAGUAAUGCCUAGGAAUCUGCCUGGUAGUGGGGGAUAACGCUCGGAAACGGACGCUAAUACCGCAUACGUCCUACGGGAGAAAGCAGGGGACCUUCGGGCCUUGCGCUAUCAGAUGAGCCUAGGUCGGAUUAGCUAGUUGGUGAGGUAAUGGCUCACCAAGGCGACGAUCCGUAACUGGUCUGAGAGGGUGACCGGCCACACUGGGACUGAGACACGGCCCAGACUCCUACGGGAGGCAGCAGUGGGGAAUAGUGACAAGUGGGCGAAGCCUGAUCCAGCAACGCCGCGUGA
rnacentral:rRNA from 1 species